UCCUGACUGACCGAUAGUGAACCAGUACCGUGAGGGAAAGGCGAAAAGAACCCCGGCGAGGGGAGUGAAAAAGAACCUGAAACCGUGUACGUACAAGCAGUGGGAGCACGCUUAGGCGUGUGACUGCGUACCUUUUGUAUAAUGGGUCAGCGACUUAUAUUCUGUAGCAAGGUUAACCGAAUAGGGGAGCCGAAGGGAAACCGAGUCUUAACUGGGCGUUAAGUUGCAGGGUAUAGACCCGAAACCCGGUGAUCUAGCCAUGGGCAGGUUGAAGGUUGGGUAACACUAACUGGAGGACCGAACCGACUAAUGUUGAAAAAUUAGCGGAUGACUUGUGGCUGGGGGUGAAAGGCCAAUCAAACCGGGAGAUAGCUGGUUCUCCCCGAAAGCUAUUUAGGUAGCGCCUCGUGAAUUCAUCUCCGGGGGUAGAGCACUGUUUCGGCAAGGGGGUCAUCCCGACUUACCGACCCGAUGCAAACUGCGAAUACCGGAGAAUGUUAUCACGGGAGACACACGGCGGGUGCUAACGUCCGUCGUGAAGAGGGAAACAACCCAGACCGCCAGCUAAGGUCCCAAAGUCAUGGUUAAGUGGGAAACGAUGUGGGAAGGCCCAGACAGCCAGGAUGUUGGCUUAGAAGCAGCCAUCAUUUAAAGAAAGCGUAAUAGCUCACUGGUCGAGUCGGCCUGCGCGGAAGAUGUAACGGGGCUAAACCAU
rnacentral:rRNA from 1 species